GAUGAACGCUAGCUACAGGCUUAACACAUGCAAGUCGAGGAGCAUCAGGAAGAAAGCUUGCUUUCUUUGCUGGCGACCGGCGCACGGGUGAGUAACACGUAUCCAACCUGCCCUUUACUCGGGGAUAGCCUUUCGAAAGAAAGAUUAAUACCCGAUAGCAUAAUGAUUCCGCAUGGUUUCAUUAUUAAAGGAUUCCGGUAAAGGAUGGGGAUGCGUUCCAUUAGGUUGUUGGUGAGGUAACGGCUCACCAAGCCUUCGAUGGAUAGGGGUUCUGAGAGGAAGGUCCCCCACAUUGGAACUGAGACACGGUCCAAACUCCUACGGGAGGCAGCAGUGAGGAAUAUUGGUCAAUGGGCGGUAGCCUGAACCAGCCAAGUAGCGUGAAGGAUGAAGGCUCUAUGGGUCGUAAACUUCUUUUAUAUAAGAAUAAAGUGCAGUAUGUAUACUGUUUUGUAUGUAUUAUAUGAAUAAGGAUCGGCUAACUCCGUGCCAGCAGCCGCGGUAAUACGGAGGAUCCGAGCGUUAUCCGGAUUUAUUGGGUUUAAAGGGAGCGUAGGUGGACUGGUAAGUCAGUUGUGAAAGUUUGCGGCUCAACCGUAAAAUUGCAGUUGAUACUGUCAGUCUUGAGUACAGUAGAGGUGGGCGGAAUUCGUGGUGUAGCGGUGAAAUGCUUAGAUAUCACGAAGAACUCCGAUUGCGAAGGCAGCUCACUGGACUGCAACUGACACUGAUGCUCGAAAGUGUGGGUAUCAAACAGG
rnacentral:rRNA from 1 species